rnacentral:rRNA from 1 species
UACAGAGGUCUCAAGUGUUGUUCGGAUUCAUUGGGCGUAAAGGGCGCGUAGGCUGCGGGGCAAGUCGGGUGUGAAAUCUCAGAGCUCAACUCUGAAACUGCACUCGAUACUGCUUUGCUCGAGGACUGGAGAGGAGAUUGGAAUUCACGGUGUAGCAGUGAAAUGCGUAGAUAUCGUGAGGAAGACCAGUGGCGAAGGCGGAUCUCUGGACAGUUCCUGACGCUGAGGCGCGAAGGCCAGGGGAGCAAACGGG